AGAGUUUGAUCCUGGCUCAGGAUGAACGCUAGCGGCAGGCCUAACACAUGCAAGUCGAGGGGUAACAGAGGAAAGCUUGCUUUCCUGCUGACGACCGGCGAACGGGUGCGUAACACGUAUGCAACCUACCCUUUACAGGGGGAUAGCCCUUAGAAAUGAGGAUUAAUACCCCAUAACAUUAUGAAGUCGCAUGGCUUUAUAAUUAAAACUUCGGUGGUAAAGGAUGGGCAUGCGUCCCAUUAGCUUGUUGGUAAGGUAACGGCUUACCAAGGCAACGAUGGGUAGCGGGUCUGAGAGGAUGAUCCGCCACACUGGUACUGAGACACGGACCAGACUCCUACGGGAGGCAGCAGUGAGGAAUAUUGGUCAAUGGACGAAAGUCUGAACCAGCCAUGCCGCGUGCAGGAUGACGGCCCUAUGGGUUGUAAACUGCUUUUAUAAGGGAAGAAACCCCCGGACGUGUCCGGGGCUGACGGUACCUUACGAAUAAGCACCGGCUAACUCCGUGCCAGCAGCCGCGGUAAUACGGAGGGUGCAAGCGUUAUCCGGAUUUAUUGGGUUUAAAGGGUCCGUAGGCGGGACAUUAAGUCAGUGGUGAAAGCCUACAGCUCAACUGUAGAAUUGCCAUUGAUACUGAUGUUCUUGAAUAUAAUUGAAGUUAGCGGAAUGUGUCAUGUAGCGGUGAAAUGCAUAGAGAUGACACAGAACACCGAUUGCGAAGGCAGCUAACUAAGUUAUCAUUGACGCUGAGGGACGAAAGCGUGGGGAGCGAACAGGAUUAGAUACCCUGGUAGUCCACGCUGUAAACGAUGAUUACUCGAUAUUGGCUUUUAGUCAGUGUCCAAGCGAAAGCGUUAAGUAAUCCACCUGGGGAGUACGUUCGCAAGAAUGAAACUCAAAGGAAUUGACGGGGGCCCGCACAAGCGGUGGAGCAUGUGGUUUAAUUCGAUGAUACGCGAGGAACCUUACCAGGGCUUAAAUGCAGAACGACAGAGGUGGAAACACCUCCUUCUUCGGACGGUCUGCAAGGUGCUGCAUGGUUGUCGUCAGCUCGUGCCGUGAGGUGUCGGGUUAAGUCCCAUAACGAGCGCAACCCCUAUUUCUAGUUGCCAGCGGAUAAUGCCGGGGACUCUAGAGAAACUGCCAGCGUAAGCUGUGAGGAAGGUGGGGACGACGUCAAAUCAUCACGGCCCUUACGUCCUGGGCUACACACGUGCUACAAUGGUGGAGACAGAGAGCAGCCAACUGGCGACAGUGAGCUAAUCUUCAAACUCCAUCUCAGUUCGGAUCGAAGUCUGCAACUCGACUUCGUGAAGUUGGAAUCGCUAGUAAUCGCGUAUCAGCCAUGACGCGGUGAAUACGUUCCCGGGCCUUGUACACACCGCCCGUCAAGCCAUGGAAGCUGGGAGUGCCUGAAGUCGGUUACCGAAAGGAGCUGCCUAGGGCAAAACUGGUAACUGGGGCUAAGUCGUAACAAGGUA
rnacentral:rRNA from 1 species